GUUGUAUGGUUAAGUGACUAAGCGUACACGGUGGAUGCCUGGGCAGUCAGAGGCGAUGAAGGACGUACUAACUUGCGAUAAGCGCAGAUAAGGCAGUAAGAGCCGUUUGAGUCUGCGAUUUCCGAAUGGGGAAACCCAACUGCAUAAGCAGUUACUGUUAACUGAAUACAUAGGUUAACAGAGCAAACCGGGGGAACUGAAACAUCUAAGUACCCCGAGGAGAAGAAAUCAACCGAGAUUCCGGUAGUAGCGGCGAGCGAACCUGGAUUAGCCCUUAAGCACUCGGUGAAGUAGGUGAACAAGCUGGAAAGCUUGGCGAUACAGGGUGAUAGCCCCGUAACCGACGCUUCAUCGAGCGUGAAAUCGAGUAGGGCGGGACACGUGAUAUCCUGUCUGAAUAUGGGGGACCAUCCUCCAAGGCUAAAUACUCCUGACUGACCGAUAGUGAACCAGUACCGUGAGGGAAAGGCGAAAAGAACCCCUGUGAGGGGAGUGAAAUAGAACCUGAAACCGUGUACGUACAAGCAGUAGGAGCACCUUCGUGGUGUGACUGCGUACCUUUUGUAUAAUGGGUCAGCGACUUAUAUUCAGUGGCAAGGUUAACCGUAUAGGGGAGCCGUAGCGAAAGCGAGUCUUAACUGGGCGCUCAGUCUCUGGAUAUAGACCCGAAACCGGGUGAUCUAGCCAUGGGCAGGUUGAAGGUUGAGUAACAUCAACUGGAGGACCGAACCGACUAAUGUUGAAAAAUUAGCGGAUGACUUGUGGCUAGGGGUGAAAGGCCAAUCAAACUCGGAGAUAGCUGGUUCUCCCCGAAAGCUAUUUAGGUAGCGCCUCGGACGAAUACUACUGGGGGUAGAGCACUGUUAAGGCUAGGGGGUCAUCCCGACUUACCAACCCUUUGCAAACUCCGAAUACCAGUAAGUACUAUCCGGGAGACACACGGCGGGUGCUAACGUCCGUCGUGGAGAGGGAAACAACCCAGACCGCCAGCUAAGGUCCCAAAGUAUUGCUAAGUGGGAAACGAUGUGGGAAGGCUCAGACAGCUAGGAUGUUGGCUUAGAAGCAGCCAUCAUUUAAAGAAAGCGUAAUAGCUCACUAGUCGAGUCGGCCUGCGCGGAAGAUGUAACGGGGCUAAGCAAUACACCGAAGCUGCGGCAAUGUCUUUUAGACAUUGGGUAGGGGAGCGUUCUGUAAGCCGUUGAAGGUGAAUCGUAAGGUUUGCUGGAGGUAUCAGAAGUGCGAAUGCUGACAUGAGUAACGACAAAGGGGGUGAAAAACCUCCUCGCCGGAAGACCAAGGGUUCCUGUCCAACGUUAAUCGGGGCAGGGUGAGUCGACCCCUAAGGUGAGGCCGAAAGGCGUAAUCGAUGGGAAACGGGUUAAUAUUCCCGUACUUCUGACUAUUGCGAUGGGGGGACGGAGAAGGCUAGGUGGGCCAGGCGACGGUUGUCCUGGUUCAAGUGCGUAGGCUUGAGAGUUAGGUAAAUCCGGCUCUCUCUAAGGCUGAGACACGACGUCGAGCUACUACGGUAGUGAAGUCAUUGAUGCCAUGCUUCCAGGAAAAGCCUCUAAGCUUCAGAUAGUCAGGAAUCGUACCCCAAACCGACACAGGUGGUCGGGUAGAGAAUACCAAGGCGCUUGAGAGAACUCGGGUGAAGGAACUAGGCAAAAUGGUACCGUAACUUCGGGAGAAGGUACGCUCUUGAUGGUGAAGUCCCUCGCGGAUGGAGCUGACGAGAGUCGCAGAUACCAGGUGGCUGCAACUGUUUAUUAAAAACACAGCACUGUGCAAAAUCGCAAGAUGACGUAUACGGUGUGACGCCUGCCCGGUGCCGGAAGGUUAAUUGAUGGGGUUAGCGCAAGCGAAGCUCUUGAUCGAAGCCCCGGUAAACGGCGGCCGUAACUAUAACGGUCCUAAGGUAGCGAAAUUCCUUGUCGGGUAAGUUCCGACCUGCACGAAUGGCGUAAUGAUGGCCACGCUGUCUCCACCCGAGACUCAGUGAAAUUGAAAUCGCUGUGAAGAUGCAGUGUACCCGCGGCUAGACGGAAAGACCCCGUGAACCUUUACUACAGCUUGGCACUGAACAUUGAACCUACAUGUGUAGGAUAGGUGGGAGGCUAUGAAGACGUGACGCCAGUUGCGUUGGAGCCGUCCUUGAAAUACCACCCUUGUAUGUUUGAUGUUCUAACUUAGACCCAUUAUCUGGGUUGAGGACAGUGCCUGGUGGGUAGUUUGACUGGGGCGGUCUCCUCCCAAAGAGUAACGGAGGAGCACGAAGGUGGGCUAAUCACGGUUGGACAUCGUGAGGUUAGUGCAAUGGCAUAAGCCCGCUUAACUGCGAGAAUGACGGUUCGAGCAGGUGCGAAAGCAGGUCAUAGUGAUCCGGUGGUUCUGUAUGGAAGGGCCAUCGCUCAACGGAUAAAAGGUACUCCGGGGAUAACAGGCUGAUACCGCCCAAGAGUUCAUAUCGACGGCGGUGUUUGGCACCUCGAUGUCGGCUCAUCACAUCCUGGGGCUGAAGUCGGUCCCAAGGGUAUGGCUGUUCGCCAUUUAAAGUGGUACGCGAGCUGGGUUUAGAACGUCGUGAGACAGUUCGGUCCCUAUCUGCCGUGGGCGUUGGAAGAUUGAAGGGGGCUGCUCCUAGUACGAGAGGACCGGAGUGGACGAACCUCUGGUGUUCGGGUUGUGUCGCCAGACGCAUUGCCCGGUAGCUAAGUUCGGAAUUGAUAAGCGCUGAAAGCAUCUAAGCGCGAAGCGAGCCCUGAGAUGAGUCUUCCCUGACAGUUUAACUGUCCUAAAGGGUUGUUCGAGACUAGAACGUUGAUAGGCAGGGUGUGUAAGCGUUGUGAGGCGUUGAGCUAACCUGUACUAAUUGCCCGUGAGGCUUAACCAUACAACACCCAAGGGGUUUUGUA
rnacentral:rRNA from 2 species